rnacentral:rRNA from 1 species
CACGUAGGGCGCAAGCGUUGUCCGGAAUUAUUGGGCGUAAAGAGCUCGUAGGCGGUCUGUUGCGUCCGCUGUGAAAACUCGGGGCUUAACCCCGAGCCUGCAGUGGAUACGGGCAGACUAGAGGUAGGUAGGGGAGAAUGGAAUUCCCGGUGUAGCGGUGAAAUGCGCAGAUAUCUGGAGGAACACCGGUGGCGAAGGCGGUUCUCUGGGCCUUACCUGACGCUGAGGAGCGAAAGCGUGGGGAGCGAACAGG